GAUGAACGCUAGCGGCAGGCUUAACACAUGCAAGUCGAGGGGUAUAGUUCUUCGGAACUAGAGACCGGCGCACGGGUGCGUAACGCGUAUGCAAUUUACCUUUUGCAGAGGGAUAGCCCAGAGAAAUUUGGAUUAAUACCUCAUAGUAUGUGAGAAUGGCAUCAUUUUCACAUUAAAGUCACAACGGCAAAAGAUGAGCAUGCGUCCCAUUAGCUUGUUGGUAAGGUAACGGCUUACCAAGGCAACGAUGGGUAGGGGUCCUGAGAGGGAGAUCCCCCACACUGGUACUGAGACACGGACCAGACUCCUACGGGAGGCAGCAGUGAGGAAUAUUGGACAAUGGGCGCAAGCCUGAUCCAGCCAUGCCGCGUGCAGGAUGACGGUCCUAUGGAUUGUAAACUGCUUUUGUACAGGAAGAACCACUGGUUUCGUGAACCAGCUUGACGG
rnacentral:rRNA from 1 species